UGAACGCGAAGAACCUUACCUGGUCUUGACAUCCCCCUGACCGGCCCGUAAUGGGGCUUUCCCUUCGGGGCAGGGGAGACAGGUGGUGCAUGGUUGUCGUCAGCUCGUGUCGUGAGAUGUUGGGUUAAGUCCCGCAACGAGCGCAACCCUUAUCCUUAGUAGCCAGCAUUUAAGGUGGGCACUCUAGGGAGACUGCCGGGGGCAACCCGGAGGAAGGCGGGGAUGACGUCAAAUCAUCAUGCCCCUUAUGGCCAGGGCUACACACGUGCUACAAUGGCGCAAACAGAGGGAAGCGGACCGGUGACGGCGAGCGAAUCCCAAAAAGUGCGUCCCAGUUCGGAUUGUAGUCUGCAACUCGACUACAUGAAGCCGGAAUCGCUAGUAAUCGCGAAUCAGAAUGCCGCGGUGAAUACGUUCCCGGGUCUUGUUCACACCG
rnacentral:rRNA from 1 species